rnacentral:rRNA from 1 species
UGGAUGAUGUGGAUUAAUUCGAUGCAACGCGAAAACCUUACCUACCCUUGACAUGCCAGGAAUCCUGCAGAGAUGUGGGAGUGCUCGAAAGAGAGCCUGGACACAGGUGCUGCAUGGCUGUCGUCAGCUCGUGUCGUGAGAUGUUGGGUUAAGUCCCGCAACGAGCGCAACCCUUGUCAUUAGUUGCCAUCAUUCAGUUGGGCACUCUAAUGAGACUGCCGGUGACAAACCGGAGGAAGGUGGGGAUGACGUCAAGUCCUCAUGGCCCUUAUGGGUAGGGCUUCACACGUCAUACAAUGGUCGGUACAGAGGGUUGCCAAGCCGCGAGGUGGAGCCAAUCCCAGAAAGCCGAUCGUAGUCCGGAUCGGAGUCUGCAACUCGACUCCGUGAAGUCGGAAUCGCUAGUAAUCGUGGAUCAGCAUGCCACGGUGAAUACGUUCCCGGGUCUU